GAUGAACGCUGGCGGCGUGCCUAAUACAUGCAAGUCGAGCGAACAGACGAGGAGCUUGCUCCUCUGACGUUGGCGGCGGACGGGUGAGUAACACGUGGAUAACCUACCUCUAAGACUGGGAUAACUUCGGGAAACCGGAGCUAAUACCGGAUAAUAUAUUGAACCGCAUGGUUCAAUAGUGAAAGACGGUUUUGCUGUCACUUAUAGAUGGAUCCGCGCCGCAUUAGCUAGUUGGUAAGGUAACGGCUUACCAAGGCAACGAUGCGUAGCCGACCUGAGAGGAUGAUCGGCCACACUGGAACUGAGACACGGUCCAGACUCCUACGGGAGGCAGCAGUAGGGAAUCUUCGGCAAUGGGCGAAAGCUUGACGGAGCAACACCGCGUGAGUGAUGAAGGUCUUCGGAUCGUAAAGCUCUGUUAUUAGGGAAGAACAACUGUGUAAGUAACUAUGCACGUCUUGACGGUACCUAAUCAGAAAGCCACGGCUAACUACGUG
rnacentral:rRNA from 1 species